AUUUAGCACUCUAUGUGGGAUGUCCUCUGUCCUCCAGAAGUCAGUAUCGGAUCGUCGUAGACGAAGAUGUUUGGACUCCUAUAAUAAAAUAUAAUAAUUAGAUAAUGUAUAUGACUUUUCAAAAAAAAAUAAAUAGUAAAUGGAUUGGAAUGCUUACGCCACCAUCUAAAAUAGUCUAUGAUCGAUGGUGCUCCUGCAAUAUAAGAAUACUGCUGUCUCGAGGAUCGAGAUACCACG
rnacentral:lncRNA from 1 species